rnacentral:rRNA from 1 species
UACGUAGGGUGCGAGCGUUGUCCGGAUUUAUUGGGCGUAAAGAGCGUGUAGGCGGCUAGAUAGGUCCGUUGUGAAAACUCGAGCUCAACCUCGAGACGCCGGUGGAAACCAUCUAGCUAGAGUCCGGAAGAGGAGAGUGGAAUUCCUGGUGUAGCGGUGAAAUGCGCAGAUAUCAGGAAGAACACCCGUGGCGAAGGCGGCUCUCUGGGACGUGACUGACGCUGAGACGCGAAAGCGUGGGGAGCGAACAGG